rnacentral:rRNA from 1 species
AGAGUUUGAUCCUGGCUCAGGAUGAACGCUAGCUACAGGCUUAACACAUGCAAGUCGAGGGGCAGCAUGGUCUUAGCUUGCUAAGGCUGAUGGCGACCGGCGCACGGGUGAGUAACACGUAUCCAACCUGCCGUCUACUCUUGGACAGCCUUCUGAAAGGAAGAUUAAUACAAGAUGGCAUCAUGAGUCCGCAUGUUCACAUGAUUAAAGGUAUUCCGGUAGACGAUGGGGAUGCGUUCCAUUAGAUAGUAGGCGGGGUAACGGCCCACCUAGUCUUCGAUGGAUAGGGGUUCUGAGAGGAAGGUCCCCCACAUUGGAACUGAGACACGGUCCAAACUCCUACGGGAGGCAGCAGUGAGGAAUAUUGGUCAAUGGUCGGCAGACUGAACCAGCCAAGUCGCGUGAGGGAAGACGGCCCUACGGGUUGUAAACCUCUUUUGUCGGAGAGUAAAGUACGCUACGUGUAGCGUAUUGCAAGUAUCCGAAGAAAAAGCAUCGGCUAACUCCGUGCCAGCAGCCGCGGUAAUACGGAGGAUGCAAGCGUUAUCCGGAUUUAUUGGGUUUAAAGGGUGCGUAGGCGGCACGCCAAGUCAGCGGUGAAAUUUCCGGGCUCAACCCGGACUGUGCCGUUGAAACUGGCGAGCUAGAGUGCACAAGAGGCAGGCGGAAUGCGUGGUGUAGCGGUGAAAUGCAUAGAUAUCACGCAGAACCCCGAUUGCGAAGGCAGCCUGCCAAGCCAUGACUGACGCUGAUGCACGAAAGCGUGGGGAUCAAACAGGAUUAGAUACCCUGGUAGUCCACGCAGUAAACGAUGAUCACUAGCUGUUUGCGAUACACUGUAAGCGGCACAGCGAAAGCGUUAAGUGAUCCACCUGGGGAGUACGCCGGCAACGGUGAAACUCAAAGGAAUUGACGGGGGCCCGCACAAGCGGAGGAACAUGUGGUUUAAUUCGAUGAUACGCGAGGAACCUUACCCGGGCUUAAAUUGCAGAUGAAUUACGGUGAAAGCCGUAAGCCGCAAGGCAUCUGUGAAGGUGCUGCAUGGUUGUCGUCAGCUCGUGCCGUGAGGUGUCGGCUUAAGUGCCAUAACGAGCGCAACCCUUGCCACUAGUUACUAACAGGUAAAGCUGAGGACUCUGGUGGGACUGCCAGCGUAAGCUGCGAGGAAGGCGGGGAUGACGUCAAAUCAGCACGGCCCUUACAUCCGGGGCGACACACGUGUUACAAUGGCGUGGACAAAGGGAGGCCACCUGGCGACAGGGAGCGAAUCCCCAAACCACGUCUCAGUUCGGAUCGGAGUCUGCAACCCGACUCCGUGAAGCUGGAUUCGCUAGUAAUCGCGCAUCAGCCAUGGCGCGGUGAAUACGUU